UAGAAUCAAUUGUAUAUAUGUAAACCGCAGCCUGCUAGCCAUAUAUUAUUACAUGAAAAUGUAUUUAAUGUUUUCAAUUACACUGAGGUAUUACAAAUUUGUUUACAAUAUUGGUGUUUUAACUGCUGAUAACUGUGGAAGUACUUUACAACUAAAUGUUUCCGGAACUGAAAAAAGUGUCAACAAAAAUACAAUUGUUUAUGUUCAAUGAUUAAGGAUAUCAAGUGAACAGAAAAUUUACACCACCAUCAGUAUCAUUUUUAAACCCAGUAGUGCAGUUAAAGAAUUCAGCAGUUAUUUUAAAUUGGAAUUCAGUUUAUUUUGGACAAUGUCAAGUUAAUUAUGACAUUAAAAUUUUGAGUAGUGAUAAUACUGUUGAAUAUGAGUUUUUUGGGAUAACUGAAACACAUUUUUCACUUGUUGAUGAUGUCAACGCAAAGAAAUUACAAAUCUAUGCAGUUUUUAAUGAUAAAAAAGGAAAUACUUUGACUGAAGAUAUACCACCA
rnacentral:lncRNA from 1 species